rnacentral:rRNA from 1 species
AUUGAACGCUGGCGGCAUGCUUUACACAUGCAAGUCGAACGGCAGCGCGGGGCAACCUGGCGGCGAGUGGCGAACGGGUGAGUAAUAUAUCGGAACGUACCCAAGAGUGGGGGAUAACGUAGCGAAAGUUACGCUAAUACCGCAUACGAUCUAAGGAUGAAAGUGGGGGAUCGCAAGACCUCAUGCUCCUGGAGCGGCCGAUAUCUGAUUAGCUAGUUGGUGAGGUAAAGGCUCACCAAGGCGACGAUCAGUAGCUGGUCUGAGAGGACGACCAGCCACACUGGAACUGAGACACGGUCCAGACUCCUACGGGAGGCAGCAGUGGGGAAUUUUGGAAAGUGGGCGCAAGCCUGAUCCAGCAAUGCCGCGUGAGUGAAGAAGGCCUUCGGGUUGUAAAGCUCUUUUGUCAGGGAAGAAACGGUAGAGGCUAAUAUCCUUUGCUAAUGACGGUACCUGAAGAAUAAGCACCGGCUAACUACGU